CCUGCUCAAUGAUCACUUUAAAUAGCCGCAAUUUCGUGCUAAGGUAGCAUAAUAACUUGUUUCUUAAUUAGAAAAUAGAAUGAAAGGAUAAACGUUUAUUUUCUAUCUUUUAUGAAUACAAAUACAAAUUAAAAAUAAAAAUCAUAAUAUUUUUAUAAAAAAGGAAGACGACAAGACCCUAAGAACUUUUUUAAUAAAUUAACUGGGGAAGUUCAUAAAUAAUCAUUUAAUAUUUACUAGAAAUAAAAGCUAUGAAGAAUAUAAACACAGUUACCUUAGGGAUAACAGCGUAAUAAAUAUUUAAAGAACGUAUACUAAUAUUAGAUUGCGACCUCGAUGUUGAAUUAAUAUUUCUUUUAUAAGAACAAUUAUAUAAAAGUAAGUCUGUUCGACUUAUAAUAUAUUACAU
rnacentral:rRNA from 1 species